CCUACGGUGGCAGCAGUGGGGAAUAUUGCACAAUGGGCGCAAGCCUGAUGCAGCCAUGCCGCGUGUGUGAAGAAGGCCUUCGGGUUGUAAAGCACUUUCAGCGGGGAGGAAGGCGUUAAGGUUAAUAACCUUGGCGAUUGACGUUACCCGCAGAAGAAGCACCGGCUAACUCCGUGCCAGCAGCCGCGGUAAUACGGAGGGUGCAAGCGUUAAUCGGAAUUACUGGGCGUAAAGCGCACGCAGGCGGUCUGUCAAGUCGGAUGUGAAAUCCCCGGGCUCAACCUGGGAACUGCAUUCGAAACUGGCAGGCUAGAGUCUUGUAGAGGGGGGUAGAAUUCCAGGUGUAGCGGUGAAAUGCGUAGAGAGCUGGAGGAAUACCGGUGGCGAAGGCGGCCCCCUGGACAAAGACUGACGCUCAGGUGCGAAAGCGUGGGGAGCAAACAGGAUUAGAUACCCCAGUAGUC
rnacentral:rRNA from 1 species